AAUCAUCUUCUACAAGAUUAUUGUGUACAGCCGCAAAGGGAUGCCGCCGAAAAGUAAACUACCUUAUUUGUGGUGUGUACGCGGGAGAUGCGUGCGGACGGGCUUCUCUUUGACCUUCCAAAAACUGCUCCCUAAU
ensembl:ncRNA F29F11.11 ncRNA